AUAGCAGGCCGGGCGGCCGCCCCUUUUCAGGGGAGGAAAGUCCGAGCUUUCAAGGGCGAGGAUGCCUCGUAACACGAGGGGGUCCCGACCUAAAGGUCGGGAUCACGGAAAGCGCCGCAGAAAAUACACCGCCCCCGAUUCUUAUCGGGGGUAAGGGUGAAAAGGUGGUGUAAGAGACCACCGGGUUCGCCGCAAGGCGGAUCGCAAGGCAAGCCCCAUCCGAAAGAAAGGCCAAAUAGGGGGAAAGAGGUGGCCCGCCUCGUUGGAUCCCCGGGUAGGCCGCAUGAUCCCGGUGGCAACAUCGGGACCAGAUAGAUGGCCGCCGUCCCGACGUUUCCUUCCGGAAUACGUCGGGAUACAGAACUCGGCUUACAGGCCUGCUUUAUUU
rnacentral:RNase_P_RNA from 1 species